rnacentral:lncRNA from 10 species
CAGCCAGUGUGGCCAUGUGACCAGCUGAAUAUAAGAGGAAGUGUGUGUGCCACUUACAUGACUGACCUGUGAAACUCGUGCCCACUCCUUCACACCUUUGCCUACUUUCUUACCAGAUGAAAUGGUGAUGACUGGAGUGACCUCGGAAGCUACUUAUCAAAGGCAGAAGAGCCACCAUCAGCCUGGAUUCCUGAUAACUCUAUGGAGCCGAGUUGCAUGCCUGCCUAAAUAGUAUAUUGUGGAACUCUUUCAUAGGAGACAAACUUAUGUAUUUUUUAAGUCACAGAAUUCUUGUUUGUCAUUCUGCAUGAAAGUCAUUUUAAAUC